CUCCCGCCGGCGACCGGCGCACGGGUGAGUAACACGUAUGGAACCUGCCCGCAGCAGGGGGAUAAGCGGAAGAAAUCCCGCCUAAUACAACAUAAUGCCGGGAGGGGACAUCCCCUGCCGGUCAAAGGGGGCGACCCCGGUCACGGAUGGGCAUGCGGCGCAUUAGGUAGUUGGUGGGGCAACGGCCCACCAAGCCGACGAUGCGUAGGGGUUCUGAGAGGAAGGUCCCCCACAUUGGAACUGAGACACGGUCCAAACUCCUACGGAAGGCAGCAG
rnacentral:rRNA from 1 species